AGCGGCGGACGGGUGAGUAACGCGUAGGAAUCUACUUAGUAGAAGGGGAUAGCCCGGGGAAACUCGGAUUAAUACCGUAUACCUCCUUAGGGAGAAAGAGGGCUUAGCUUUGAUGCUCUCGCUAUUAGAUGAGCCUGCGUAAGAUUAGCUUGUUGGUGAGGUAAUGGCUCACCAAGGCGACGAUCUUUAGCUGGUCUGAGAGGACGAUCAGCCACAUCGGGACUGAGACACGCCCAGACUCCUACGGGAGGCAGCAGUGGGGAAUAUUGGACAAUGGGCGCAAGCCUGAUCCAGCCAUACCGCGUGUGUGAAGAAGGCUUUCGGGUUGUAAAGCACUUUAAGUAAGGAGAAAAAGAUUGUAGUUAAUACCUGCAAUCCGUGAUGUUACUUACAGAAUAAGGACCGGCUAAUUCCGUGCCAGCAGCCGCGGUAAUACGGAAGGUCCAAGCGUUAAUCGGAAUUACUGGGCGUAAAGCGCGCGUAGGUGGUUUUUUAAGUUGGAUGUGAAAGCCCUGGGCUCAACCUAGGAACUGCAUCCAAAACUAGAUGACUAGAGUACGAAAGAGGGAAGUAGAACUCACAGUGUAGCGGUGGAAUGCGUAGAUAUUGUGAAGAAUACCAAUGGCGAAGGCAGCUUCCUGGUUCUGUACUGACACUGAGGUGCGAAAGCGUGGGUAGCGAACAGGAUUAGAUACCCUGGUAGUCCACGCCGUAAACGAUGACAACUAGCUGUUGGGAGACAAGAUCUCUCAGUGGCGCAGCUAACGCUUUAAGUUGUCCGCCUGGGGAGUAC
rnacentral:rRNA from 1 species